AUCCAGUACAGAAACAAGACUAGAAUAGACACCAAACAAGAAAACAAGACAAAAUUAGGAGAACCCAGAACCGGAGCAGGACAGAAAUCAGAACCCAUAACAUGUACACAAGACAUGAGGAAAACAAGAACAGGACAGGACAGGACUGUACAUGAACUGGGAAUACAAGACAAAAUAAAACAAGACAAGAGAUACAAGACAAAACAAGAGGAGAUAUAAC